UACGGGGGGUGCGAGCGUUGUCCGGAAUCACUGGGCGUAAAGCGCGCGUAGGUGGCUUCGUAAGUCCGUUGUGAAAGUCAAAGGCUCAACCUUUGAAAGCCGAUGGAUACUGCGGAGCUAGAGUACGGAAGAGGCGAGUGGAAUUCCUGGUGUAGCGGUGGAAUGCGCGGAUAUCAGGAGGAACACCAAUAGCGAAGGCAGCUCGCUGGGACGUUACUGACACUGAGGCGCGAAAGCGUGGGGAGCGAACAGG
rnacentral:rRNA from 1 species